UACAGAGGUCUCAAGCGUUGUUCGGAUUCAUUGGGCGUAAAGGGUGUGUAGGUGGCGCCGUAAGUCGGGUGUGAAAUUUCGGAGCUUAACUCCGAAACUGCAUUCGAUACUGCGGUGCUUGAGGACUGGAGAGGAGACUGGAAUUCAUGGUGUAGCAGUGAAAUGCGUAGAUAUCGUAAGGAAGACCAGUGGCGAAGGCGGGUCUCUGGACAGUUCCUGACGCUGAGGCACGAAGGCCAGGGGAGCAAGCGGG
rnacentral:rRNA from 1 species